rnacentral:rRNA from 1 species
UCGGACGGGUGAGUAACGCGUGAGAAUCUGCCCUUAGGAUGGGGACAACAGUUGGAAACGACUGCUAAUACCCAAUAUGCCGGAAGGUGAAACUUAUAUGGCCUGAGGAAGAGCUCGCGUCUGAUUAGCUAGUUGGUAGUGUAAUGGACUACCAAGGCGACGAUCAGUAGCUGGUCUGAGAGGAUGAUCAGCCACACUGGGACUGAGACACGGCCCAGACUCCUACGGGAGGCAGCAGUGGGGAAUUUUCCGCAAUGGGCGAAAGCCUGACGGAGCAAGACCGCGUGAGGGAGGAAGGCCUACUGGUUGUAAACCUCUUUUGAUAGGGAAGAACACAAUGACGGUACCUAUCGAAUCAGCCUCGGCUAACUCCGUGCCAGCAGCCGCGGUAAUACGGAGGAGGCAAGCGUUAUCCGGAAUUAUUGGGCGUAAAGCGUCCGUAGGUGGUUAUCCAAGUCAGUUGUUAAAGCGUAGAGCUUAACUCUAUAAGGGCAAUUGAAACUGGGUGGCUAGAGUGCGAUAGGGGCAAGGGGAAUUCCCAGUGUAGCGGUGAAAUGCGUAGAUAUUGGGAAGAACAUCGGUGGCGAAAGCGCCUUGCUGGGUCUGCACUGACACUGAGGGACGAAAGCUAGGGGAGCGAAAGGGAUUAGAUACCCCUGUAGUC